UACGGAGGGUGCAAGCGUUAAUCGGAAUUACUGGGCGUAAAGCGCACGUAGGCGGUAAGUUAAGCCAGCUGUGAAAUCCCCGGGCUCAACCUGGGAAUUGCAGUUGGAACUGGCUUGCUAGAGUAUGGUAGAGGGGUGUGGAAUUUCAGGUGUAGCGGUGAAAUGCGUAGAUAUCUGAAGGAACAUCAGUGGCGAAGGCGACACCCUGGACCAAUACUGACGCUGAGGUGCGAAAGCGUGGGGAGCAAACAGGAUUAGAAACCCGCGUAGUCC
rnacentral:rRNA from 1 species